UUAAGUUCAGCGGGUAGUCUUACCUGAUUUGAGGUCAAAAAUGUCAAGAGUUGUCCAGUGAAGGACGGUUAGAAGCAGGUCGUAACAGCCUUCCAAUCCACGGCGUAGAUAAUUAUCACACCAAUAGAUUAGGGGCCAAACCCACUAAUACAUUUCAGAGGAGCAGACCACGAGAGUGGACCUGCAACCCCCACAUCCAA
rnacentral:misc_RNA from 1 species